UCGAGCCGCGAGCUUUUUGAACAACCCUUACUUUUUUGCCUUUUUGCAGCGCCCAACGGUUGAAUGACUUGGGUGAAGAAUCAACCAGACUUCCUCUCUUCCUCUCUUGAGGUUGGAUGGGUCAAAAUGGGUCGGAGCGGUUUAAGCCUAUCAAUACUUUUUAUGUCCAUUUUGUAUAUAUUUUAGACUACUAUUUCUUUUUAGCUAAUUUUCCUUCCACAUUCGACCCGUUAUCAAUGAAAUACAUUUCGACCCGUUAUCAAAAUGGGUCAGACUUUUAUAGUCUGUUAAAA